rnacentral:lncRNA from 1 species
GGGGCAGCGCAGGCGGGCGUGGAGUGGAGGAGGGAGCGAGACGACGGCGGGGGCGGGGACGGGCCAGCCACCGCGCUGGUCGCUCUGCUCACGUACUGCUGCCUCGAUCGGUAUCGGUGAGUGAGUGGUCCUCAGUCCUCACCCUCGUGUCCACCCGACGACGGCCGCCGGCCAAGACACGAGAGGAAUGCAAUGCACCGCCCGUACGUACUGCUUGCCCGCUGCCUCUGCUAUCUUGGUAGGGCGAUCGAGGCUCGCCGUGUGACUCAGCCGUGCCCGUGCAUGGCGCGCGCGGCGGCGACGACGACGACGAGAGGAGCAAUUCGAAUGCGCCUGCUCCCUCGGUUCCCACAUCUCAUCUCGUAGCGUAGGCAGGCGGCAGGCGGCAGGAGCAGAGCAGCUGCAGGAAGGCAGAAACCAUCUCAGCGGCAGAAUGUGAGCAUUUAUACUGCUUGCAGAUCGCAUUUGCUAGCUCGCUCCGCUCCGCUGGAACUACUGUUACUGUUCCCCUGAAUCCCUGAUCCUUUUCUGUUACUGUAUUUUUUUCUUUUUGUGGUCCCGUGGAAUUCUUGUACAUUAGAAGAAUGAUACGGUCUUCAAAACACUACUUUAAUUUUUUAUUUUUAUAAAAAACUUUAGAAAAAAUAUGAUAUAUGUAUGUUUUUAUGAAACUAUUUUUUAAGAUAAAUCUAUUCAUAUAGUUUUUACAUUUACAACCUCAAUAGUUUAAAAAUUAUUGAUAAUUUAUAUUUG